rfam:Stegodyphus mimosarum contig84142, whole genome shotgun sequence.
GCCUUCGUGGUGUAAUUGGAAGCGCACUCGGCCCGUAUUCGAGAGAUUCGUGGUUCGAGUCCUGGCGAGGACA